GAUGAAGAACGCAGCAAAAUGCGAUAAGUAGUGUGAAUUGCAGAAUUCAGUGAAUCAUCGAAUCUUUGAACGCACAUUGCGCCCGCCGGCACUCCGGCGGGCAUGCCUGUCCGAGCGUCAUUUCAACCCUCAGGACCCCCUUUCGGGGGGGACCUGGUGCUGGGGAUCAGCGGCCUCCGGGCCCCUGUCCCCCAAAUUGAGUGGCGGUCGCGCCGCAGCCUCCCCUGCGUAGUAGCACACCUCGCACCGGAGAGCGGCUCGGCCACGCCGUGAAACCCCCAAUUUUUUAAGGUUGACCUCGGAUCAGGUAGGAAUACCCGCUGAACUUAAGCAUAUCAAUAAGCGGAGGA
rnacentral:misc_RNA from 1 species